UGAUUUAAAAGACAUUUACACUGUAUAUUUUGACAUCUGAUGUUGACAAUUUGUGUUUUAACAAUUAUAAAACUAACUUUUUGAAUCUCAACAUCUACUCUCAUUAAACAAUUAUUUUCACUCCCCCCACCCAUAAUUUCUUGCACAUGUGAAAAUUUAAAUUGAUAAAAAUAGGAAAAA